CCAUCCCUGGAAAAGAGACACAGGCCAUGGUCCUUAAGUGGAGAAUAAAACCCAGGCUAGACAUGGAAGACCAGACUUGAACAUCUGGAUGAUCUUGCAGUGGACUGAGGCUGGGAAGACAUAAUAAUCUAGGAACCACCUGUCUGAGAGACCAAAGGGCCUUGUUAUGCUCUAUGUCUUCCUGCCUGCCUUCUAACGAGGAAGGCCUGCUGCAGCAUCCUGAGGUGCGGGCUACAACAGAAAUGCUUUUGGUCUUGGGGCAACCGUCACUUGUCUCCAUGUUCUGGAGGCUGGCUUGAUAUGGAAGAAGACAAUGACUCCCCUUCCCAGGAAAAGGGCGUUUGUUGCCUACCAAUGAAGGAUGGCUGGAACAGGGUCUCUGGGCAGCGGAAACGUUCAUUUCCGAUGGUGAUCACUUGCCCAUCAGGCAACUCGUAACUCUUCUCAAGGGAGGAUGAGGAUGCGGCAGUGGCCAUCUCAUUUUCAAAGUCCAGAGCUACAUAA